rnacentral:rRNA from 1 species
CCUACGGGUGGCUGCAGUGAGGAAUAUUGGUCAAUGGGCGAGAGCCUGAAGCAGCCAAGUCGCGUGAGGGAGUACUGCCCUAUGGGUUGUCAACCUCUUUUGUAGGGGAGCAAAAGACGGACGUGUCCGGCUGUGAGCGUACCCGAAGAAACAGCAUCGGCUAACUCCGUGCCAGCAGCCGCGGUAAUACGGGGGAUGCGAGCGUUAUCCGGAUUUAUUGGGUUUAAAGGGUGCGCAGGCGGAUUUUUAAGGCAGCGGUCAAAUCGUGGGGCUCAACCCCAUCCAGCCGUGGAAACUGGGGAUCUAGAGUGUGCGAGAGGUAUGCGGAAUGCGGGGUGUAGCGGUGAAAUGCAUAGAUAUCACGCAGAACACCGAUGGCGAAGGCAGCUUACCAAGCUACUUCUGACGUUGAGGCACGAAAGCGUGGGGAGCAAACAGGAUUAGAUACCCUGGUAGUC